rnacentral:rRNA from 1 species
GACGAACGCUGGCGGCGUGCUUAACACAUGCAAGUCGAACGGAAAGGCCCUGCUUUUGGGGGGUGCUCGAGUGGCGAACGGGUGAGUAACAUGUGAGUAACCUGCCCUUGACUUUGGGAUAACUUCAUGAAACUGGGGCUAAUACCGGAUAGGAGCUCCUGCUGCAUGGUGGGGGUUGGAAAGUUUCGGCGGUUGGGGAUGGACUCGCGGCUUAUCAGCUUGUUGGUGGGGUAGUGGCUUACCAAGGCUUUGACGGGUAGCCGGCCUGAGAGGGUGACCGGCCACAUUGGGACUGAGAUACGGCCCAGACUACUACGGGAGGCAGCAGUGGGGAAUAUUGCACAAUGGGCGGAAGCCUGAUGCAGCACCGCCGCGUGCGGGAUGACGGCCUUCGGGUUGUAAACCGCUUUCGCCUGUGACGAAGCGUGAGUGACGGUAAUGGGUAAAGAAGCACCGGCUAACUACGUG